AACGAACGCUGGCGGCAGGCUUAACACAUGCAAGUCGAGCGCCCCGCAAGGGGAGCGGCAGACGGGUGAGUAACGCGUGGGAAUCUACCCAUCUCUGCGGAAUAACGCAUGGAAACGUGUGCUAAUACCGUAUACGUCCUUCGGGAGAAAGAUUUAUCGGAGAUGGAUGAGCCCGCGUUGGAUUAGCUAGUUGGUGGGGUAAAGGCCUACCAAGGCGACGAUCCAUAGCUGGUCUGAGAGGAUGAUCAGCCACACUGGGACUGAGACACGGCCCAGACUCCUACGGGAGGCAGCAGUGGGGAAUAUUGGACAAUGGGCGCGAGCCUGAUCCAGCCAUGCCGCGUGAGUGAUGAAGGCCCUAGGGUUGUAAAGCUCUUUCACCGGUGAAGAUAAUGACGGUAACCGGAGAAGAAGCCCCGGCUAACUUCGUGCCAGCCGCCGCCGUAAGAC
rnacentral:rRNA from 1 species